GCAACCGGUAAUUUUGACCGGUUCGUAGUUCUAGUGUUAAGUUCAUACAUAUAUUAUUAACAUUAACCUAUGCGAAAAAUCUAACCUCAAAUUUUAAAUACAUGAACGUUUUUUGGAAAGAUGGUAAAAAGCUAGUAGAGCAGAACACAAAUUCUUCAAUAUGUACAAAGAUAACUAGAUUCAUUAUCCGCCCACCCCUUACGUUUUAAUUUGGCAACAUCGCUGUUAACUAAAAUAACAGCUUUCCAAAUAAACAUACAUACAUAUCUACAAAAAAUGUUGGCGCAAAAUUUACAAUAUUAAAGUUACCGCGAGAUAUUUUUAUAUGUAUGUGAAAAUUUACGUGCACACAUAUAAAUGUUAACAAAACCAGAAUUUUAAAUACACACGUACAUAUAUACAUACAGCUAUACAUAUACGAACAUACAUUUAGGCUAAGAGCAAGAAAGGAUGAGGUAUCUAGUGGAUGAAAUGUACCGAAACAGGAAACAAAAAUAAAAGCAAUAAGAAAUGGAUUUUCAACAAAAAUAAACAAAUACGAUAACUCAGAGAGCGCAAAACCAAAAGACAGCACUGAGCACAAGAAAGAGAGAAUUUAUAAAUAAACAAAACGUUUGAUUGCCACUACGUUAAUAAGAAACCUUACACAUUUUUAUUCGAGCACAUUGUAUUCAACCCUAAUGCACGACGCCAAACUUGGUAACCUUGUCAAGGAUUUAAACAAAAUUUUGCGAUGAGCGCGCUACAUAUAGAAAAAUAGAGGGAUGAACAUAAAAACAAAAACGCCAAUAAGUGAAUUGUGCGUGACAAGCUAUUUACAAACUUCGCAGUAUAAAAUCAAAGAACACAUUACAUAAAAUAAUGACAAAAGGACGGCGAGAUGUGCAGGAAAGCGAUGUAUACAUAGUGCAACAUUAACUUUUGCUGUGUCAUGCAGAGGGGAAGGAAACUUUGUUAAAUACCAAUGUGAAGACGAUGGAGAAGAAAUAUGUUGCAAAAAAAAAACAGCGACGAAUGGAUAAGUGAAUAAAUUAAUGUAUAUGGAAGCCUGUACGUACACAACUUGAAUAACGCUUGCUGGGGAGCCAGUGCUUCUUAACUUUACCAAAUCAUGUCACAUUGCUAGCAAAAUGCAGCAGCGAAAGAAUCAGACGUUUCUAAAAUUAGCAAUAAUAUAGGAGGGUGGGUUUUGAUUUUUUUUACAAUAGGCACCAACUUUUCUGAGUGUAUAAGUGGAAUUAACAUAGAAUUGACACAUCUUUCAUUGAUAUAGCUAAUCAAACAUAACUUCCUCCAUACGAUUAUUUGUCACAAUCUGCAUGAUCCAUAUUAAAAAUCACCAAGUGUGACUCGUCAAUCGCAGCAUUAUAUUGUAAACUUGCUUUUUUCCUUUUUUUGUUUUUGAUUUUUAUACAAAAAAAAUUAUCACUCAAUUUAUGCCAAAACAUUGCACUUUAGCGCAGGCACGCUUCGCAUAUGAAAAGUAUAUAAUAAAACUAGUAACAGUAAUAACCACCAAUAAGGUAGGGGACAGGAAAAAAUUAAAAACAAGCUGUGCAUAAUAAAAAUAUAACAACAGCACAAGACAACGCCAUUAAAGAGGAGUUUAUAUGGAAAAAACAUAAAAACUAAAUACAACGAAUACAGCGAAAACUAGCAAAGGAACAAAUUCACCGUACAUGCUGCACAUGGAGAUCAAAAACAAUCAAACGAAAGAGUCGUAGCCAAGUACAAGGCACGGCAGGAGGCGUCUAUAUAUGCAUGCAGACAUAUAUAUUUACAUAUAUGUAUAGGUAUAUAAUUGCAAGUAAAUCUGUGUGCAGCAAGUUAAACUAGCGAAGCACAAAAUUUAAGCAAUAAUCGCAAGGUAGAAUAAUUCUGUUAAAACUUUUAAAAUGAAAUACAACAAAGAGUUGAUGUUUAUGUUUGCAGAAAUUAUAACUUCAUAUAAAUUAUAAGAAAAUAUAACUAUAGUUAUACACAAUUAUAUAGCUUCUCAAAAAUAGAUACAUAUACCAUAGAAAUGCGUAUGAACUAUUUUUGGUGUAACUAUGCAAAAGCUAGAGGCUAUCACAUUAUGUUAAAAACUAUUUUCACUUAUUUCAUAUUUUUAAAACUCACCUUAAUUCAUCGAUAAAAGAACGC